GGCGGUUUAAAUUUUCAUUUACACUGAGAGAUACCAGGUAUGGCGCCCUUAGAAAUUGUUAUAGUACAAACAA
rnacentral:tRNA from 1 species